rnacentral:rRNA from 1 species
CCGCUGAACUUAAGCAUAUCAAUAAGUGGAGGA